rnacentral:rRNA from 1 species
GACGAACGCUGGCGGCGUGCUUAACACAUGCAAGUCGAACGAUGAUCAGGAGCUUGCUCCUGUGAUUAGUGGCGAACGGGUGAGUAACACGUGAGUAACCUGCCCCUGACUCUGGGAUAAGCGUUGGAAACGACGUCUAAUACUGGAUACGACUGCCGGCCGCAUGGUCUGGUGGUGGAAAGAUUUUUUGGUUGGGGAUGGACUCGCGGCCUAUCAGCUUGUUGGUGAGGUAAUGGCUCACCAAGGCGACGACGGGUAGCCGGCCUGAGAGGGUGACCGGCCACACUGGGACUGAGACACGGCCCAGACUCCUACGGGAGGCAGCAGUGGGGAAUAUUGCACAAUGGGCGAAAGCCUGAUGCAGCAACGCCGCGUGAGGGAUGACGGCCUUCGGGUUGUAAACCUCUUUUAGUAGGGAAGAAGCGAAAGUGACGGUACCUGCAGAAAAAGCACCGGCUAACUACGUGCCAGCAGCCGCGGUAAUAC